UGAAAGAUGAAUUUAAGCCUAAACCACGAGGGCAGUAUUUUACAGAGUAUUCUCCUCAUACCUCGGGAUCAAGGAAGCAUCUUGGUGGACCCGUGUUAUGCAAAAUACAGUUAGGGGAGGACUACUCCAGGACUGGCGCAGACCCUGACAGAGCUGUCCGACGUUGCGCAUCUGUGUGGGUUAUUUGGAUCCAAUCUCUUCAACUCUGGCAGCAUGUGAGAAUUACUUGGGGAACAUUGAAAACUCACAGACGUCUGGGUCUCACCCAAGACCAAGUUAAUCAAAAUCUCUAGGGGUUCCCAUGGGUCAGGAGUCCGGGCACAGCUUAGCUGCAUCCUGUGCUCAGGGUUACAAAGUUACAAUCAAGGUGCCUUCUUGGCUGCACUCUCAUCUGGAGGCUCUACUCGGGAAGAAUCUGCUUCCAAGCUCAUUCAGCUAGGUGCUAUGUUGUGAGAUAUUCUAUGAAGAUGCCCAAGUGGCAAGGAAUUGCUUAACAGCUCUAGCUGAUAGCACAUGCGGAACUGACACAUUAGUCCAACAACCCACAAGGAACUGCAUUCUCUCAACAAUCUCAUGAGUGAGCUAGGAAAUGAGUCCUUCCCAGUGGAACCUUGAGAUGACUGCAACCUUUUGAGAGAUCCAGAGCCAGAGGACCUAGCUCAACAGGACCCACUGGAACUGUUCUGAC
rnacentral:lncRNA from 1 species